rnacentral:rRNA from 1 species
ACGGAGGGUGCAAGCGUUAUCCGGAAUCACUGGGUUUAAAGGGUGCGUAGGCGGUUUUUUAAGUCAGUUGUGAAAUUCCCCCGCUUAACGGGAGGGACUGCGAUUGAUACUGAAGAACUUGAAUCAGGUUGAGGUAGGCGGAAUGUGACAUGUAGCGGUGAAAUGCAUAGAUAUGUCAUAGAACACCGAUUGCGAAGGCAGCUUGCUGGACCUGUAUUGACGCUGAGGCACGAAAGCGUGGGGAGCAAACAGGA